CUGGGACGUUUGUCCGCUUUCUAAUACAAGUUCUAGCUUGCUAGACAUGACUUUUUUAUUAUCUGGCCUCAAAUCAGGUAGGACUACCCGCUGAACUUAAGCAUAUCAAUAAGCGGAGGAAAAGAAACUAACAAGGAUUCCCCUAGUAACGGCGAGUGAAGCGGGAAGAGCUCAAAUUUGAAAUCUGGUGGCCUCAGGCUAUCCGAGUUGUAAUCUAUAGAAACAUUUUCCGCGUUGGCCCAUGUACAAGUCUCUUGGAAUAGAGCGUCAUAGAGGGUGAGAAUCCCGUCCUUGACAUGGACUACCAGUGCUUUGUGAUAUGUUUUCAACGAGUCGAGUUGUUUGGGAAUGCAGCUCAAAAUGGGUGGUAAAUUCCAUCUAAAGCUAAAUAUUGGCGAGAGACCGAUAGCGAACAAGUACCGUGAGGGAAAGAUGAAAAGCACUUUGGAAAGAGAGUUAAACAGUAUGUGAAAUUGUUGAAAGGGAAACGAUUGAAGUCAGUCGUGUCUAUUGGACUCAGCCGGUUCUGCCGGUGUACUUCCUUUAGAUGGGGUCAACAUCAGUUUUGAUCGCUGGAAAAGGGCAGGAGGAAUGUAGCACUCUCGGGUGAACUUAUAGCCUUCUGUCGCAUACAGUGGUUGGGACUGAGGAACGCAGCUUGCCUUUAUGGCCGGGAUU
rnacentral:rRNA from 1 species